GCCUGGGAGGCUCAGUAGGUUAAGCACCUGACUUCAGCUCAGGUCACGAUCUCAUGGUUUGUGAGUUCAAGCCCCACCUCUGGCU
rnacentral:tRNA from 1 species